rnacentral:lncRNA from 1 species
CGCCUGUCCAACAAAAGCCACGCCCCUCUGAGUCCGCGCCCAUUGAGCGUCUGGCCCCAGCGUCUCACCGGGUCUGGUCUCUGCGGCACUCCGGCCCGCCGACCCCUCCCACCGGACACCCCAUCGUCGUGCCUGGUGAAGGCCUAGGGACUGAGGGCCGCCCCUUCCCCGGUGUCCCUCUGACUCCCACCUACAGGCCCAGCCUGUCCCAGGUGGGCGGGGCGAGAGGGCGCUGUGCCAGACAGCCAGAACUAGAACACAGCACCCGCCGGAGCCCCAGCUGGGAGGCAAAGGCAGGAGGACUGCAAACACAGAUGAUACCACAGAAGCUCUGGGGCCGACGCAGCCCAGCAUGCCUGCCUUCGCCCAUGACCGUCAGCCCCCUCAGAACUUGCAGGAACCACGGUGCUGGACACACUCUGGCUCCCUACCAUGCACCCUCAGUGCUAGCGAGACAUGAGCACCAUCCGCCCUUGUCCUACCAAGGGAAACUCACUGGAAUUGCUGCCCAGGGCCCCACUUUGCUGCUCUGGAACUGGCCACACUCACUGAGACCCUAGUGGUACCCAGCCUGCCCUGUGCCCUGACUGCAGGAUACAGCCUGGCCUCCCUCCCUGAGCCCACACAAACAGGACAGGGACAAGACAAAGACACGGCUCUGUAGGGUUACCUGGUGCCGGGGGCAGCCCAUGCAGAGCACCGGCUACCAUCCUCAGUCUCUGAGGCACGGGCACCAG